rnacentral:rRNA from 1 species
UAAAGUAAGAAAGAGCGUAUGGCGGAUGCCUAGGCACAGAGAGGCGAAGAAGGACGCAGCAAACAGCGAAAUGCGACGGUUAGCAGUAAGCAUGCAACGAUCCGUCGAUGUCCGAAUGGGGGAACCCACCUGGAGUAGAGACCAGGUAUCCUGAAGUGAAUAAAUAGCUUCAGAGAGGCGAGACUCAGGGAACUGAAACAUCUAAGUACCUGAAGGAAGAGAAAAUAAACGAAUGAUUCCCUAAGUAGCGGCGAGCGAAAGGGGAAGAGCCCAAACCGAUCUUAGGAUCGGGGUUGUAGGACUGUCGGCAAAGAGCAAGAAAUCAUUAUAGGCGAACGGAAUGGGAAGUCCGGCGAAACAGGGUGACAGCCCCGUAGCCGAAAUAGUGAAGAAGCACGAGACAGCACCUGAGUACGGCGGGACACGAGGAAUCCUGUCGGAAUCCACCAGGACCAUCUGGUAAGGCUAAAUACUCCUCUGUGACCGAUAGUGAACCAGUACCGUGAGGGAAAGGUGAAAAGAACCCCGGGAGGGGAGUGAAAUAGAACCUGAAACCAUAUGCUUACAAGAAGUUAGAGCCCGUUAAAGGGUGAUAGCGUGCCUUUUGUAGAAUGAACCGGCGAGUUACGAUAUGGAGCGAGGUUAAGCAGGAUAUGCGGAGCCGAAGCGAAAGCGAGUCUUAAGAGGGCGCGAGUUGCAUGCAGUAGACCCGAAACCGGGUGAUCUAGCCAUGACCAGGUUGAAGUUGGGGUAAAACCCGAUGGAGGACCGAACCGACCCCCGUUGAAACGUUGGCGGAUGAGUUGUGGCUAGGGGUGAAAUUCCAAUCGAACCCGGAGAUAGCUGGUUCUCCCCGAAAUAGCUUUAGGGCUAGCGUCGAGAGAAGAGUUGCGUGAAGGUAGAGCACUGAAUAUGUGAUGGCCCCAUCUCGGGGUACUGAGCAUAAUCAAACUGCGAAUGUCACGCCAACAUGCUCGGCAGUCAGACAGCGGGUGAUAAGGUCCGUUGUCAAGAGGGAAACAGCCCAGACCAUCAGCUAAGGUCCCAAAAUGUAUGCUAAGUGGAAAAGGAUGUGGAGAUGUACAGACAACUAGGAGGUUGGCUCAGAAGCAGCCAUCCUUUAAAGAGUGCGUAACAGCUCACUAGUCGAAUGACUCUGCGCCGAUAAUUUACCGGGGCUAAGCAUACUACCGAAGCUAUGGAUCCCAAGGGAUGGUAGGGGAGCGUUCCAUGAACGGAGAAGUACGACCGAAAGGACGUGUGGAGAUCAUGGAAGAGAGAAUGCCGGUGUGAGUAGCGGAACGUGGGUGAGAAUCCCACGCACCGAAAACCCAAGGUUUCCAGAGGAAGGUUCGUCCGCUCUGGGUAAGUCGGGACCUAAGGCGAGGCCGAAAGGCGUAGUCGAUGGACAACAGGUAGAGAUUCCUGUACCCGUAUAUAUGUGAAGGAAUGACGGAGAGAGGAAGCUGCAGCCAGCGGCUGGAAGAGCUGGUGCAAGCGAGAUAUCGGGAUGGCAGGCAAAUCCACCAUCCGAAACGAGAAGGCGUGAAGCGUACGGAAAGCUACGGCGAGUACGGAAGGCAGUGGAGGAACUUCCAAGAAAAGUUUCUAACGUUAAGUAUAUAUGGCCCGUACCGAAAAUGGACACACAUGGGUGAGGAGAGAAUCCUAAGGUGAGCGAGAGAACUAUAGCUAAGGAACUCUGCAAAAUGACUCCGUAACUUAGGGAGAAGGAGUGCUCAUAGAGAUAUGAGCCGCAGUGAAACGGCCCAAGCGACUGUUUACCAAAAACACAGCUCUCUGCUAAGCCGCAAGGCGAAGUAUAGGGGGUGACGCCUGCCCGGUGCUGGAAGGUUAAGGGGAGGGGUUAACGCAAGUGAAGCCCUGAACUGAAGCCCCAGUAAACGGCGGCCGUAACUAUAACGGUCCUAAGGUAGCGAAAUUCCUUGUCAGGUAAGUUCUGACCCGC